rnacentral:rRNA from 1 species
GAUGAACGCUGGCGGCGUGCCUAAUACAUGCAAGUCGAGCGAACAGAUGAGGAGCUUGCUCCUCUGACGUUAGCGGCGGACGGGUGAGUAACACGUGGAUAACCUACCUAUAAGACUGGGAUAACCUCGGGAAACCGGAGCUAAUACCGGAUAAUAUAUUGAACCGCAUGGUUCAAUAGUGAAAUACGGUUUUUCUGUCACUUAUAGAUGGAUCCGCGCCGCAUUAGAUAGUUGGUAAGGUAACGGCUUACCAAGGCAACGAUGCGUAGCCGACCUGAGAGGGUGAUCGGCCACAUUGGAACUGAGACACGGUCCAGACUCCUACGGGAGGCAGCAGUAGGGAAUCUUCCGCAAUGGGCGAAAGCCUGACGGAGCAACGCCGCGUGAGUGAUGAAGGUCGUCGGAUCGUAAAACUCUGUUAUUAGGGAAGAACAAAUGUGUAAGUAACUAUGCACGUCUUGACGGUACCUAAUCAGAAAGCCACGGCUAACUACGUG